rnacentral:rRNA from 1 species
UACGUAGGGGGCAAGCGUUGUCCGGAAUCAUUGGGCGUAAAGAGCGCGUAGGCGGCCCUGUAAGUCCGGUGUGAAAACUCGAGGCUUAACCUCGAGAUGUCAUCGGAAACCAUUUGGCUAGAGUCCGGAAGAGGAGAGUGGAAUUCCUGGUGUAGCGGUGAAAUGCGCAGAUAUCAGGAAGAACACCAAUGGCGAAAGCAGCUCUCUGGGACGGUACUGACGCUGAGACGCGAAAGCGUGGGGAGCGAACAGG